GGCCGUGUGGCGCAACUGAAUAGCGCAUCAGAUUUCGGCUCUGAGGGUUGGGGGUUUGAAUCCCUCCACGGUCA
rfam:Aquimarina sp. RZW4-3-2 contig4, whole genome shotgun sequence.